AGCGGCGGACGGGUGAGUAACACGUGGGUAACCUGCCCAAGAGACUGGGAUAACACCUGGAAACAGAUGCUAAUACCGGAUAACAACACUAGACGCAUGUCUAGAGUCUGAAAGAUGGUUCUGCUAUCACUCUUGGAUGGACCUGCGGCGCAUUAGCUAGUUGGUAAGGUAACGGCUUACCAAGGCAAUGAUGCAUAGCCGAGUUGAGAGACUGAUCGGCCACAUUGGGACUGAGACACGGCCCAAACUCCUACGGGAGGCAGCAGUAGGGAAUCUUCCACAAUGGACGAAAGUCUGAUGGAGCAACGCCGCGUGAGUGAAGAAGGGUUUCGGCUCGUAAAGCUCUGUUGGUAGUGAAGAAAGAUAGAGGUAGUAACUGGCCUUUAUUUGACGGUAAUUACUUAGAAAGUCACGGCUAACUACGUGCCAGCAGCCGCGGUAAUACGUAGGUGGCAAGCGUUGUCCGGAUUUAUUGGGCGUAAAGCGAGUGCAGGCGGUUCAAUAAGUCUGAUGUGAAAGCCUUCGGCUCAACCGGAGAAUUGCAUCAGAAACUGUUGAACUUGAGUGCAGAAGAGGAGAGUGGAACUCCAUGUGUAGCGUGGAAUGCGUAGAUAUAUGGAAGAACACCAGUGGCGAAGGCGGCUCUCUGGUCUGCAACUGGCGCUGAGGCUCGAAAGCAUGGGUAGCGAACAGGAUUAGAUACCCUGGUAGUCCAUGCCGUAAACGAUGAGUGCUAAGUGU
rnacentral:rRNA from 1 species